rnacentral:lncRNA from 1 species
GUUUACCUAUGUGAUGGACUAUAGUAAUACCUGGGCCGGGCCCUACCUCCCACAGGGCCGGGGCGGUCGCCCCGUUGCCCCGCCUUGUGGGCCGGCCCUGACUACAUUGUAUUUUUCCCGGCCCUCACGGCCUCCUUUUCUCAUUAACUCAAGCAAUACUUAUACAUAGAAGGCUAACCUCACGCACACAACUCAGCUGCCAUGCACGGCCACUAACCCAACUAAUCCAUCUCCUGGAAUCUCUCGAGACACAUGGGACUCGUCCAACAUGCAAGGCACACCAGUUGAGUCAUAAAUCCACUCACGCAUGCACUUAGACCUAUUCUCUUGCUGCUACUAACUAACUCAUCUAAUCCCACUACACUAACUUGCGUGUAUACACAUUAACUCAUCUUCACGUGAGUACACACCCGCAGUCUAAUAGCUGGACACGACGGCAUGCAUGGCUCAACAAAAGCAAAUAACCAAACCUAGUACUAAUAACAAGAUUAGUUCCAACAUUCACCUUCUUAACCUUGUUAACUUAGUUCUCUCUUGAAGCCCGUGGUUGUCGAUGUCGCUGGUGCAACACGGAGACGGCCGCCAAUGCCAUCUUGUCACGCCGAUUGUCGUCGUUGCCGCUUGCUUCGAUGAGAGCCACACCUUUUAUGCCUUCACCAUGAGUGUGCCGCCAUUGCACGCUCGUUGCCGCAUGUGUGCCACCGCUUCCGCAACUCGUCGGUGACUCGCCUCCAUGUUCGUCACCGGUGCCGCAACUCGCCGGUGACCCGCCUCCAUGUUCGUCACCGGUGCCGCAACUCGCCGGUGACUUGCCUCCAUGUUACCGAUGAUGACACACCUUAUCGCCGACUCGGACAUGGAACUCCUUAAGGCAAUGGCCUCCACUCCAUGGCCAUCACCUUCUUGCCGCCGGCGACUCAACUUACCGGACAACAUACCUUUCUCCACCACUCGUGACGCAGCUCGACGAUGAUGAAGACACGCACCAGCCGCUAGCAGCAUCACGCCGCCAACGGCGUCCAACUUGCGCCGCCAACGGCCUCCUCACAUGGAGUCUGUCGCACCGCCACCGCUUCGGAUCGACAAGGC